rnacentral:rRNA from 1 species
UACGUAGGUGGCGAGCGUUAUCCGGAAUUAUUGGGCGUAAAGAGCGCGCAGGUGGUUGAUUAAGUCUGAUGUGAAAGCCCACGGCUUAACCGUGGAGGGUCAUUGGAAACUGGUCGACUUGAAUGCAGAAGAGGGAAGUGGAAUUCCAUGUGUAGCGGUGAAAUGCGUAGAGAUAUGGAGGAACACCAGUGGCGAAGGCGGCUUCCUGGUCUGUAACUGACACUGAGGCGCGAAAGCGUGGGGAGCAAACAGGAUUAGAUA